rnacentral:rRNA from 1 species
AUACGGAGGAUCCGAGCGUUAUCCGGAUUUAUUGGGUUUAAAGGGUGCGCAGGCGGGAGAUUAAGUCGGCGGUGAAAUUUUGCAGCCCAACUGUGAAAGGGCCUUCGAAACUUGUUUUCAUUAGUGUAGAUGAAGUAAGCGGAAUUUUUGGGGUUAGCGUGAAAUGCAUAGAUAUCACGAGGAACUCCGAAUGCGCAGGCAGCUUACUAAACUACUACUGACGCUCAGGCACGAAGGCGUGGGGAUCAAACAGGAUUAGAUACCCUGGUAGUCCACGCAGUAAACGAUGAUUACUAGCUGUUUGCGAUACAAUGUAAGCGGCUGAGCGAAAGCGUUAAGUAAUCCACCUGGGGAGUACGUUCGCAAGAAUGAAACUCAAAGGAAUUGGCGGGG